CCAAUAGCGUAUAUUAAAGUUGUUGCAGUUAAAAAGCUCGUAGUUGAAUUUCGGAGUUUGUCGGUUGGUCGGGCUUUACUGUCCGCACUGACCUGAUGAAUUCCUACCUUCUGAAUAACCAGCAUGCUAUUAAGUUAGUGCGUUGGGGAAGCAGAGCUAUUACCUUGAAAAAAUUAGAGUGCUUAAAGCAGGCUUACGCUUGAAUAGAUU
rnacentral:rRNA from 1 species